CUUCUAGCAAAGCUGCAACAUACGGUCUUGUCUCAAUCCAUGUUGUUAGGAUACUUUCCUAUACUCAGAUGAAAAUGCUGACAUGUGAUGAAUUGCAGUCGUAACUUUUUCAUUUCUAGCUCAUGCAAAUCAUGAUGCUUGAUGGGCACAUGGUGUUCCAAACUUAGACAAUUCGUGCCAUUCAGAAAGUUUCGCUUUCAUGUGCAAAACCAAGAAGUAUUGUAUGAUCUUUCCUCUGCAGAGCUUGAGCAAGCUCCUGAAGGACCCGUCAUCAAAGGGUUCGAUCGUCUCCCGCCUAAAGCCUACAACAAGAUGCUUCACAGCAGAGCAAAAAUGCAUCAGGCGAUGGGUAAGUUCCACGACGGCGCAUCAAGCCUAGCUCGACUACACCAGACCUGUCCCGGCUGGGACGAUGCCACGAUAGCCGACGUGCGGGGCAUCUUUCAGAUGCUGGAUGACAACGGUGAUGGGGUGCUGGAUGUCAAUGAGUUUGCUGCCGGGCCGGAAGAUGGACGCUCAGAUACCACCGAGGCUUUGCUAUAUAUGGACUUUGAAGGGUUCAUGAAGUGCACAUAUGACAUGGCACAAAAUUGGACACACGGGGGAAAGGCUCCUGUUGAAGUCGACCUGGUGGAGACCUUCCUGAUGUUUGCACAGCACGAUGAAAAAGGCACGCAGUACUCGCUGAAUGACCUCAAAAACCUCUUCUACGUCAAUAACUUCUACGUUCGAAAAAUACGGAGCCAAAGCAUAGGGUUUCAAAUCCAGCAUGGCUUCAUUUGAUUAGCAAUUUUGCUUCGAAAUGAACUCAUCGGAUGGUAAGUGAGAUUCGCGGACAUGAUCACAAACAUUGAAAACUGUUUGGUGUUGUGCUAUGCAUUGGGACAAUGUUUUAAACUUUCCCAGCAUACCAUAGGCUCUCACAGCUUACUCGUGAAGAAUGCCUGUAUAAUAAGCAUUUGAUCGGAGCUUUGCUAUGUGUGUGUGUUAUUGCAAUACAACUACGCAUUGGCUUGU